rnacentral:rRNA from 1 species
CUGCACCUGAAAUCAAGCAAGAUCACCCGCUGAACUUAAGCAUAUCAGUAAGCGGAGGAAAAGAAACUAAA